CUCUGGGAGCCUCCACAAGCACUUUAGGUUUUCAGAGGCAAAGCUGCCUCCCCAAAUCUCAUGAUUACUUGAGGCCCCUAAGUCCGCCCUUCUCGUUCUCCCAAAGGAGGAAUAAUAUCCACACGGGAGGAUAAGUGAGAGGGAUGCCAUCACUCCAGCCUGUCUUUCAGGACGAAGGAGGCAGGACAGCAUCACCGAGGGAGCCGGGCAGGAAAUGAGGAGCCAUGGGUUCAAGUUCUUGCUCUGCUAACAAGAAAGCAACGGCUUGGAGAUGUGCUGCUCAGAUGUCCUUUCCAGAGAGAACCUACUGUGAGCAGUGGAGUUGGCUGACAGCCCUCAGUAUCUGCCGCUGUGUUCCAGUCCAAAUCAAGAUCUCCCUGGGCAGCUGGCAGCCCACAGUGGUUCCUCGAGCCUGGCCAUCUCUGCCUGGGACCACCCUCACCCUUACAGGCAAUCUGCUUUUAAAGUUCCAAUGCUCAGGCCAAGACUUGCUCAGAGCUGCAGCAAGCGCAGAGCUUCUUCCUCCCCAGUCCUCCUUAGGUGUCUCUCUUCUUAUUUCCCCCAUGGGUGUCAGGCCUGCAAUGCAGCCUGAAGGCUUUCCUGCCCACUUCUGACCCUUUUCUCUUGUAUCUUUCAAGCACGACCCAUAAUAAAUCUCGUAUUCCUGACUCCUGACUCUGAGUGGACCAGAACUCA